UACGUAGGCAGCGAGCGUUGUUCGGAGUUACUGGGCGUAAAGCGUGCGCAGGCGGCUUCCCAAGUCAGUGGUGAAAGCCCGGAGCUCAACUCCGGAAAUGCCAUUGAAACUGUGAAGCUUGAGAACGAGAGAGGUGAGUGGAAUUCCCAGUGUAGAGGUGAAAUUCGUAGAUAUUGGGAAGAACACCAGUGGCGAAGGCGGCUCACUGGCUCGUAACUGACGCUCAUGCACGAUAGCGUGGGGAUCAACAGG
rnacentral:rRNA from 1 species